rnacentral:rRNA from 1 species
UACGGAGGGGGUUAGCGUUGUUCGGAAUGACUGGGCGUAAAGCGCGCGUAGGCGGAUCGGAAAGUUGGGGGUGAAAUCCCGGGGCUCAACCCCGGAAUGGCCUUCAAAACUCCCGGUCUUGAGUUCGAGAGAGGUGAGUGGAAUUCCGAGUGUAGAGGUGAAAUUCGUAGAUAUUCGCAAGAACACCAGUGGCGAGGGCGGCUCACUGGCCCGGUACUGACGCUGAGGUGCGAAAGCGUGGGGAGCAAACAGG